rnacentral:rRNA from 1 species
UGUCACAGCCAUGUCACCCUGUAGCCCAAGACUUGUUACUCACUGAAGCUAAGCAGGGCUGAGCCUGGUCAGUACCUAGAUGGGAGACCACUAGGGAACACUAGGUUGCUGUUGGAA